rnacentral:rRNA from 1 species
UCAAGCGAAUAAGUGCAUGUGGUGGAUGCCUAGGCGAUUACAGGCGAAGAAAGACGUGGUAGCCUGCGAGAAGCUCCGGGGAGCUGGCAAACGAGCAUUGAUCCGGAGAUGUCUGAAUGGGGAAACCCACCCGCGAGGGUACCCAUGACUGAAUACAUAGGUCAUGAGGAGCGAACCUGCUGAACUGAAACAUCUAAGUAGGCAGAGGAAAAGAAAUCAACCGAGAUUCCCGUAGUAGUGGCGAGCGAACCGGGAAGAGCCUGCAACAUUUAGCCAUUAAUUUAGCGGAACGGAAUGGAAAGUCCGACCAUAGUGGGUGAUAGUCCCGUACGCGAAGGAUUAGUGGUGGAACUGGGGUUGCGACAAGUAGGGCGGGACACGUGGAAUCCUGUCUGAAGAUGGGGGGACCAUCCUCCAAGGCUAAAUACUCGUAAUCGACCGAUAGUGAACCAGUACCGUGAGGGAAAGGCGAAAAGAACCCCGGGAGGGGAGUGAAAUAGAACCUGAAACCGCAUGCAUACAAACAGUGGGAGCCUCGAAAGGGGUGACUGCGUACCUUUUGUAUAAUGGGUCAGCGACUUACAUUCUGUGGCAAGCUUAACCGAAUAGGGGAGGCGUAGCGAAAGCGAGUCUGAAUAGGGCGAAUAGUCGCAGGGUGUAGACCCGAAACCAGAUGAGCUAUUCAUGGCCAGGUUGAAGGCAGGGUAAUACCUGUUGGAGGACCGAACCCACUAGUGUUGAAAAACUAGGGGAUGAGCUGUGGAUAGGGGUGAAAGGCUUAACAAAUCUGGAAAUAGCUGGUUCUCUCCGAAAACUAUUUAGGUAGUGCCUCACGUAUCACUUCUGGGGGUAGAGCACUGUUUUGGCUAGGGGGUCGUUUAGAUCUACCAAACCAAGGCAAACUCCGAAUACUGGAAAGUGUGAGCGUGGGAGACAGACACCGGGUGCUAACGUCCGGUGUCGAGAGGGAAACAACCCAGACCCUCAGCUAAGGUCCCCAAGACGUGGUUAAGUGGAGAACGAAGUGGGAAGGCGAAGACAGUCAGGAAGUUGGCUUAGAAGCAGCCAUCCUUUAAAGAAAGCGUAAUAGCUCACUGAUCGAGUCGUCCUGCGCGGAAGAUGUAACGGGGCUCAAACCAUGCACCGAAGCUAGGGAUAUCAGUAAUGAUAUGGUAGGAGAGCGUUCAGUAGGCCUGAGAAGGUGAGGUGUGAACCUUGCUGGAGGUAUCUGAAGUGCGAAUGCUGACAUGAGUAGCGAUAAAGCGGGUGAAAGGCCCGCUCGCCGAAAACCCAAGGUUUCCUGCGCAACGUUCAUCGGCGCAGGGUGAGUCGGCCCCUAAGGCGAGGCUGAGAAGCGUAGCUGAUGGGAAAUCGGUUAAUAUUCCGAUACCUUUGUGGAAUGCGAAGGGGGGACGGAGAAGGUUAGGCAAGCCGGGUGUUGGAUGUCCUGGUUUAAGCGUGUAGGCAGAUCUCUUAGGUAAAUCCGGGGGGUUAAUGUCGAGGCGUGAUGACGAGUAGUCUUAGACUAUGAAGUUGCUGAUACCAAGCUUCCAAGAAAAGCCUCUAAGCGAUAGUUUCACGAAGACCGUACCGCAAACCGACACAGGUGGGUAGGAUGAGAAUUCUAAGGCGCUUGAGAGAACUCGGGUGAAGGAACUCGGCAAAUUAGCACCGUAACUUCGGGAUAAGGUGCGCCCCGAUGAUGUGAAGGUCCUUGCGACUGGAGCAGUAAGGGGUUGCAGUGAAAUGGUGGCUGCGACUGUUUAAUAAAAACACAGCACUCUGCAAACACGAAAGUGGACGUAUAGGGUGUGACGCCUGCCCGGUGCUGGAAGGUUAAGUGAUGGGGUGCAAGCUCUUGAUCGAAGCCCCAGUAAACGGCGGCCGUAACUAUAACGGUCCUAAGGUAGCGAAAUUCCUUGUCGGGUAAGUUCCGACCCGCACGAAUGGCGUAACGAUGGCCACACUGUCUCCACCCGAGACUCAGCGAAGUUGAAGUGUUUGUGAAGAUGCAAUCUCCCCGCUGCUAGACGGAAAGACCCCAUGCACCUUUACUGUAGCUUUACAUUGGACUUUGAUGAGAUUUGUGUAGGAUAGGUGGGAGGCGUUGAGAGCAUGCCGCUAGGUGUGCUGGAGCCGACCUUGAAAUACCACCCUGAUGUUAUUGAGGUUCUAA